AUUCAUUGACAUCUAAUUUAAUGAAAUAGAACACAUAAUCUUAUCUUAUCAUAAGCAAGAAAUGCAAGAUGUUUUAAGAAAUAUAUUAUUGUAUUUGUCAUCAUUUCAGUUGGCAUUGCUAGAGCAGCAUUAAGGCAGUCAAUGAAUGCAACUUAUUUGGUGAGCAUGGAGCCACCUGGUCUGGGAUUUUUGUUAAUAUUGAUGCCCACCACAGGAACAGAACAAUCUUACCCUGGGAAUCAAACUCUGAGGACACUGAUGCCUCUCUUCUAUUGAGUGUAAGUUGGCCUGCAUUAGCCAUAAAUGAAGAUGAUGUUAGAAUGAAAACAAUUGAGAAGGUCCUUCGCAAGUUAAAAGGCAACUUUGGUAUCAAACAUUUUCCUAGAGAUAGGUACAAAACAGCUAUAGAGGACAAAAAUAGAAAGUAUUACCGCCCUGCUGAAAUAAAGUUUAUAAGCACAGUAAGACUUUCUGAUCUUUUGGCAUCAUUUUACAAAGCUCAGAAGACAGAAACUGCCAGACAGUCUGCUCUGAACUCCCAAGAGUACUCAAAUUACCAGGCCCCUUCAUAUGUUGACCUAACAAAGUCAAAGUUGCCAAGGAGAGUUGAGUAAAUAGAAGCGCAAAAGUUUCAUUUAUUAACUUUUAAAGCAAUAACACAUUUGAAUGUUCAAGUAUCCACCUGACUGAUGAAUGUUCAAGUAUCCACCAGACAGAUGAAUGUUCAAGUAUCCACCAGACAGAUGAAUGUUCAAGUAUACACCAGAUAGAUGAAUGUUCAAGUAUCCACUAGACAGAUGAAUGUUCAAGUAUCCACCAGACAGUUGAAUGUGCAAGUAUCCACUAGACAGAUGAAUGUUCAAGUAUCCACCAUUUCAUUAAUUAUCAUAUUUCUCUUUUAGGAAAAUGUUUCUGUUUUCACUUUAUUUUAUUUUGUACCAGUCUAUUAUUUUGUACCAUUAAGAAUUUAUAUUUUAUGUUAGUAAAAAAGAUGUUUGAAAUUUUGUAGCAAAAUUUAAAAAAAAAAAUCUCCUCUAUAUAUAUUAAAAUAGUAAUUUACUCAACCUUGGAAUCCUAUCACUGAACUGGGAAAGCUAGCUUUGAUUGUUUUUGUUGUUGUAAAUAGCCAUAUGGAUAGUGUGUAUAUUAUGCAAAGGUUGAUUAUUAGCUAUUAAGGUUGGAGUUUUCCUUUUUUUUAAUUUUUACAUGAUUUCAAUGUUAAAUACCACUGUAGUUGUCUUUCUGAUAAUGAUGUUAUGAUGUGGUCUUGGUAUAUUUUUUCUGUGAUUAGAUGUUGUAACAUAUAGAUAUUGACAAUGUACAAAGUUUAUAUACAACCAAGUUCAUACAUUAAUCUAUUUCACAAUCAUACAAACUAUAAACUGCGUAAAGCUUUUUGUUAUUAUUAAAAAUAUAAACUGUAAAGUAUUGGAUACUAAAAUGCAUUUUAAUUUAUUCUUCCCGAGCUAUACUUUAUUGCUUCUUCAUUUUGUGUGUGCACAAUCUAUUGAAUUAAUAAUGUAAUUUUUUGUGAGAUGAUUUGUGUUGGUCACAUGUAUAAGUCAUUAGUUUCUAUCAUGAUUUUUUUAAAAGUAUUUGUGUAAAACCAGAGAGGUUUCCUUAAAUUUGUACUUUAUUAAUUUUUUAUGUUACAUUUUUGUUUAGUUUUAAUUUUACUUACAAGCUGAAUUUGUAUACAUAGCUAUGAUUUGAUUUGAUGGAAUUCUUCUUUUUGUAAAAUUUUACAUGGUCUAAGGUUUUUGAGUUCAUUGAAGCUUUUUUUCAAAACUGUCUGAAGAGUUGAACUGAAGGCUUGUGAAACAAUAGGCCAGCAAAAAAUAACAAAAGCUUCCUCUCACCAGCCUGACUGAAAUGAUUGUUCUGUCUGGAAGAGAUCCUACUUGGUGUCUGUAUCACACUACUAUUUCCAAUGCUUCAGAAGCUCCAGACACAGGGGCUAGAGAUUGGCAGACUGCUAAGCACACCAAGAACUCCUGCCAUCUUCCUGCUCUUUACCACACUCAACAAUCCCCAUUCCAUUUGUGAAACAGAAUGUUGGGAUUGUUGACAUGGUCAUAAAGACUCUCUUCCCAACCAAGAAUUGAGCAAUGCUUUUCCAUUCCUAAUGAAGUCUUGUUUUCUUACUUCCUUGAAGCCUAAUUGUUUUGACCCAGGGGUGGGGGGGCACUAUGUUGUAGACUGGGAUGUUUGCUUUCUGACAGCAUUGUAGAAUAAUUAUAUUGUAAUAAAAUAUUUUUCAAAUAAAAAAAUUAAAUGAAACAAAACCUACAUCUUGGCUAUUAAAAUCCAGGUUAAUACUGCUAUUUGUUAUAUAAUGUAUGUGUCACUGUCAUGAGAUGUAUACAUUGGAUGCUUACAUAAACAUUGGUUUUGUGAAACAUCAGUCAAUUGUAUUUAUGACCCUACUCUAAAUGGCCUAAAAUGUUGAACAUAAGAGUACCAGUUCAAUGUUAGAGAAAAUAAUAGUAAGUAGGGGAGACAAUAAAAGAGUUUUAAUAUGUUC